rnacentral:rRNA from 1 species
GACGAACGCUGGCGGCGUGCCUAAUACAUGCAAGUUGAGCGCUGAAGGUUGGUACUUGUACCCACUGGAUGAGCAGCGAACGGGUGAGUAACGCGUGGGGAAUCUGCCUUUGAGCGGGGGACAACAUUUGGAAACGAAUGCUAAUACCGCAUAAAAACUUUAAACACAAGUUUUAAGUUUGAAAGAUGCAAUUGCAUCACUCAAAGAUGAUCCCGCGUUGUAUUAGCUAGUUGGUGAGGUAAAGGCUCACCAAGGCGAUGAUACAUAGCCGACCUGAGAGGGUGAUCGGCCACAUUGGGACUGAGACACGGCCCAAACUCCUACGGGAGGCAGCAGUAGGGAAUCUUCGGCCAUGGACGAAAGUCUGACCGAGCAACGCCGCGGGAGGGAAGAAGGGUGUCGGAUCGUAAAACUCUGUUGGUAGAGAAGAACGUUGGUGAGAGUGGAAAGCUCAUCAAGUGACGGUAACUACCCAGAAAGGGACGGCCAACUACGUG